CGGCCAGGCAAGUCCAGGUGUUGUGCAUUGUGCCACGCAGCUGUCUAAUUCCUGGCUAGAUAACAGCCACAGUACGAGCCUCAUCAUCCAACUGUGAUAUCUGGGGUCCCUGGAAAUGGCUACAUGC
rnacentral:snoRNA from 1 species